rnacentral:rRNA from 1 species
AACGUGGGUAACCUGCCCAAGAGAUCGGGAUAACACCUGGAAACAGAUGCUAAUACCGGAUAACAACGGAUGAUGCCUAUCAACUGUUUAAAAGAUGGUUCUGCUAUCACUCUUGGAUGGACCUGCGGUGCAUUAGCUAGUUGGUAGGGUAACGGCCUACCAAGGCGAUGAUGCAUAGCCGAGUUGAGAGACUGAUCGGCCACAUUGGGACUGAGACACGGCCCAAACUCCUACGGGAGGCAGCAGGG